UUGGAGGGCAAGUCUGGUGCCAGCAGCCGCGGUAACUCCAGCUCCAAUAGCGUAUAUUUAAGUUGUUGCAGUUAAAAAGCUCGUAGUUGAAUUUCGAGAUCAAUUUGUCGGUCGUGCCUCGGUACGUACUGGCAUUAUUGAUUUCUCCCUUCUGAAGAACCGCGAUGUCAUUAAUUUGGUGUCGUGGGGAAUCAGGACUGUUACUUUGAAAAAAUUGGAGUGUUUAAAGCAGGCGCACGCUUGAAUACAUUAGCAUGGAAUAAUGAAAUAGGACGUUUGAUUCUAUUUUGUUGGUUUCUGGGAUCGACGUAAUGAUUAAUAGGGAUAGUUGGGGGCAUUAGUAUUCAAUUGUCAGAGGUGAAAUUCUUGGAUUUAUUGAAGACUAACUACUGCGAAAGCAUUUGCCAAGGAUGUUCUCAUUAAUCAAGAACGAAAGUUAGGGGAUCGAAGACGAUCAGAUACCGUCGUAGUCUUAACCAUAAACUAUGCCGACUAGGGAUCAGAUGAUGUUAAUUUUUCAAUGACUCGUUUGGCACCUUACGGGAAACCAAAGUGUUUGGGUUC
rnacentral:rRNA from 1 species